AACAAACGCUGGCGGCGUGCCUAACACAUGCAAGUCGUACGUGAAAGUCCGCUUCGGUGGAUGAGUAAAGUGGCGCACGGGUGAGUAACGCGUGGAUAAUCUGCCCUAUAGUCGGGAAUAACUCAUCGAAAGGUGAGCUAAUACCGGAUAAUGCUGUAUCUGCUUCGGCAAAGCAGCCAAAGGAGGCCUCUAUUUAUAAGCUUUCGCUAAAGGAUGAGUCCGCGUACCAUUAGCUUGUUGGUAGGGUAAUGGCCUACCAAGGCGACGAUGGUUAGCUGGUCUGAGAGGAUGAUCAGCCACACUGGAACUGAGACACGGUCCAGACUCCUACGGGUGGCAG
rnacentral:rRNA from 1 species